rnacentral:rRNA from 1 species
UACGAGGGGGGCAAGCGUUGUUCGGAAUUAUUGGGCGUAAAGCGUGCGCAGGCGGUGAUGUAAGACAGAUGUGAAAUCCCCGGGCUCAACCUGGGAACUGCAUUUGUGACUGCAUCGCUGGAGUGCGGCAGAGGGGGAUGGAAUUCCGCGUGUAGCAGUGAAAUGCGUAGAUAUGCGGAGGAACACCGAUGGCGAAGGCAAUCCCCUGGGCCUGCACUGACGCUCAUGCACGAAAGCGUGGGGAGCAAACAGG